rnacentral:rRNA from 1 species
AUGAAGCUGCAGCCGUUGAACCUAGAGCAGAUCUUCCACGAACCGCUCGCUGAGAUGGGCAUCGUGAACAAGCCAGUGAAUUACUAUUGGAAGACGAUGACGAAUAGCGAUGUCAAUACUAGCCGGGGGUGGUCUGUGCCCCGCGAUGUAGCUGAGCGCUUGUUCCCGCCUCUGGAUUUCACACAGACACAGCAGCAGGACCUAUUUGUGUGCGACAUUCAUGAUGUUCAAGCACUGGUGCCGAGGCAGAAAAUACCCCUCCCAGGUCCCAGCCCGCGUCACCCCAUUCUUUCUGUUUCUUACAUUGGCCUAAUGAGGUUUGCGUUUACAUCAUUUACUGAACAAUAUACCAUAAAAUCGAGCGAGGAUAGUCGACUCAAAGCUCAGCGAAUUGAGACUCUCAAGGAGGAAUCGGCGAGAAAUGCUGGUCAAACCUAUGUUCAUUAUUUUAGAAUGUAUGAGCGAACCAUUAUUAGGAGUCCACGAUGCUCUCUUCUGUUUGAAUACCACCACGCCGCUCUUGAGCGCCUCCUCCAUCCGUCACCGGUCGAUUGGCACAACGUCGAUGGCGUGCCUUGGGUAGUGGAGGGCAUGUGUGCUCUUGCUCGCCACGUCGAAGGGAUCGGCGCCCAGCUUGAAGAUCAUGGUGUUGCCGAAGCUCACGUUGAAGGAGACCGCCGAGAAGGAGACGGCCGGCUGGCAGUUGCCAUUUUCCGCGAGGACGCUGAGGGAGAGUCAGAUGUCCCGCAUCCUGCCUAG